rnacentral:lncRNA from 1 species
GGGUGCAGGUAGGGAGCUCAGCGUGCUGGCUGGGUGCUCAGGGUGCUCUCAGGGUGCAAGUAGGGUGCAGGCAGGGUGCAAGUAGGGCGCACUCAGGGCACAAUUAGGGUGCUCAGGGUGCAGGUAGGGCGCACUCAGGGUGCAGUCAGGGCACAAGGCGGGUGCUCAGGGUGCAAAGAGGGUGCUCAGGGUGCAGCCAGGGUACACUCAGGGCACAGUUAGGGUGCUCAGGGUGCAGGCAGGGUGCUCAGGGUGCUCAGGAUGCAA